UCUUUCUUUCAUCUCUAUUUUCCUCUUCUCUAAUCUCGGUCUCUUUGACUCUGAAAAAAGGUAAAGGUUAUGGAGGGUGAUAGGACUCUUUGCUUGUGCCAAAGACAUUACAUGGUGAGAACCUCAUGGACUAACAGAAAUCCAGAAAGAAGAUAAAUAUAUUGUGAGCUUGGUUCACGAAAUAGGGGAUGUAGUUAUUUUAGAUGGAUUGGUCCUGAGAUAUGUGAAAGAGGAAGACAUAUCAUACCUAGUUUGCUGAGAAGGAUGAGAAAUAUUAAAGCUGAUAGAGAUAUGAGCUAGAGAAAGGAUAAAUGGUUAUGGAUAUAUGGGCAAUUUUUUCAAUUUUAGUUCUCAUUUUCAAAUGAUAGUAAUUGGGUCUUAGGAUUAUGAAUCUCAUUGGAGUUGGCUAGUGAGCUAUAAUUGUUCUUUUAUCUUAGUUAGGUUGAAUGUUACAAAAUCUGGAUGGUCUAAUCUUCAUUUAUUUUUUGGUAAUGGAAGUU
rnacentral:lncRNA from 1 species